CAGUAGCCGCGGGAAUACGAAGGGGGCUAGCGUUGUUCGGAUUAACUGGGCGUAAAGGGUGCGUAGGCGGGCAUUUAAGUCAGGGGUGAAAUCCCAAGGCUCAACCUUGGAACUGCCUUUGAUACUGGAUGUCUUGAGUCCGGGAGAGGUGAGUGGAACUGCGAGUGUAGAGGUGAAAUUCGUAGAUAUUCGCAAGAACACCAGUGGCGAAGGCGGCUCACUGGCCCGGUACUGACGCUGAGGCACGAAAGCGUGGGGAGCAAACAGGAUUAGAUACCCCUGUAGUCCCUGUCUCUUAUAA
rnacentral:rRNA from 1 species